UUUGUUGGGAAAUAUUUAUUUUGAUAUUUUUAAUUUUUUUGAUGUAUUAUAUAUAUUUAAAAAUAAUAUAAAAAUUAAUACGGACGGGCCAAGCCGGGUCCGAGCCCAAUAAAUACAUAAUAUGGUUGAGAGUUUGGAUAACUUAAAAAUAAAAGCAAAGACCAAAUCAGGCAUUGUUGCUUUCGUAUUUCUUGUUCCAGUGGACCAUGUCCCAUCGGUAUGAAUAUAACAUAAUUAAUAAAUGACAACUGAUUACAAAAUAUCACUAAUAAUUUUUAUAUAAAAAUAGCUCCUCAAAAACUGUAUUUACUUUACUCGUUUCUGAUACUUUAUGUAACUAUUGAUACUAAUUAUCGUUGGAUCUCACAGUCUGAUCUAAUUUAUAGUAAACAAAAUAGAAACAGCAAAACAAUUUGAUUUUUCAUAUGCAUCCAUUAUUAUUUCACCAACUAAUAACAGUGUUUCAUAAUUGAAUAAUCAUGCAUUUAUUAUUUUCUUUAUGUCAAAAUACACUAUUUUUUAGAAGAUUAAAGUGGUUGAAAUUGAAACGAAUUUAUGAAAGAUGGAAAAUUGCUGUAAUAUGCACAAAAAGUUGCUUUAGAAAUUGAAGUAAAAUAUAUGUAAUUAAUUCAUCCAUUGACGUUUUAGUGGCGAAAUUUGGGGAGAGAUUUUAUGAACCCAAGGUGGCCACACUUUUUCUCAUCAUCAAAUGGACCGUCUCUGACAAGAGCCCAAAGUGGUUGAUCCAACUUGUCCAUCGGACGGCAGUCCCAUCCAAUUCAUAGUUGAACAGCUGGGAAUUAAGGACGUAUUGCCAGCAUAUUUGGACCCAUUGUUGCAGCCUCAAGAUUUACUAACGGGUGUAAGCUUUGCUACUGGAGGAUCAGGAUAUGAUCCAUUAACGCCCAAAUUACAUGUCCCCGCACUUUAAUUUCCACCAAAACAAAGAUAUUCUUCUUCAAACUUUCAUCUCUGGUGAAUCAGUUGGUUUCAUCAAUGUCGGAUCAACUGCUGCAGUUCAAAGAAUACAAAGAAAAGUUGACAGCAAUUGCAUGAGAAGAAGGAACAAAAUCCAUGUUGGCUACAAGUUUAUACAUAGUUGUAUCAGGGGUUUGAGAUUGUGGACAAAGGGUGCUGUGGCACUGGCACCGUUGAGGUGUCAAUAUUAUGUAAUCAAAUAGGAAAGAAAUUUGUUAAUCAUUAACAAAAAAAAAAAAACCAUCUAGUUUGUAUUUACAAGAGCUGAUUUUAGAUGGAUUGAAUUGGGCUGAUGGGCUGCCUUAUAUUACUGGCGAGGUUAACAUUGCUGGCUGGCAGGUAUGGCAGAUAAUGGCAUCUUUCAGAGCGGCCCAGUUCUAAACAAUAAGAAUGAUUUUACACCGGAAGAAGAGGAGGAAGUUCGUGGCCAGAAUCAGUUAGCCUUCGAGUGAACAAUCUCAAUUGAAUUGAACAUAGCUUUCUUCCUUUAUUUCGUUUUUUCUUUUUUUUAAAUUUUCAAUAUGCAUGGGGUUGUUCUUCUCUGUUUUU